UAAGUUUAAAGUGACAAAAAGUCAGGUUUAAUCACCACAGCAAUAAUCCCACUAUGGCGGCCAUGAGGCCCCAGGUCGGGAACGACCUACACUCUUACACAAGCCCGCUGACCGAACAUCGCGGGCCAACAGCCAUACUGGCGCAACCUCUUUUCCUUUCUGUUUACAUGCGUUACGAAUCAGAUGGAAGAUACAGGUAUGGCGCGUAACAAUAUCCUACGCUACAGUGAGUGCAGAUUAACUGAAAAUGUAAAACAUACUCUGCACAAGUAAAGAGCAAUGCGGACUGGUAACAAAAAUAUCAAAUGCAUGAAUGUAUAGCAAGGCACAAUGAGGUGGGGCACACAUACAUGGCUAUGGUAACGGGUGAUACAAGUGUGUGUACACAUGGAUACAUACACACGAGUGAUGGCAUAAAGGGUCAUAUGGUGUGGCUACCAGUGUACAUACACAGGGGUUACAUACACAGUGUGAUGACAUACAUGGUUACGUAGUGUGAUUACAGGUGUGCAUACAUGACUACAUAACACUAGCAUACAUGGCUACCGGCGGUACCAUGUAUGGGGUUGGGGGUGACCACUUUUUUUUUCUCCUCCUCUACCUUCCCCGCUAGUUGCAAAAAAAAGGAGGCAAGUACAUGCACAAAUGAGUACACAAACAAAAUGAGGCGCAUGAGCGUGGCUAUGAUAAUGUGAUGUGAAAUGUGUGGUAUGUGCUGGUUUACAAUUAUCUGGUUUUGCCAGUGGAACGAAAUAACAAUGUGGUACAGUGUAAAAACAGGGGCACAGAACCAGAUAUGGAGUGUAAGUAUAUGUGUUAACAACACAGCACUGUGUGCAUAGGGAUAGAUGGGACAUGAUAUGAUGCACACAUGUGUGGGGACAUAAAUGCCACAGAGCACAAGGUGUGGAUAUGAACACAGUAUGAGGCAGGACGUGUAAACAAUUGUGUUACUACUAACUUUAGAUAUAAUGAAUACACAUCUGGGCUGGAUAAAAACAUGUGCUGGCAAACAAAAUGUUGUGAGACAGACUUAAUGCAGUACAGAUGUGAAGUGGAAUGUAGGGACAAAAAUAUCACCGAAACAGUGGGGUUGAUGCUACAAAACAUGACAAAUACAGUGUGAGGGAUACAUAACAAAUGUGAAAAUAAUAUGGAGGGAUACACAAUGUCAGAAACACUAUUACACAAUAAAAGGGGGUGUGAUCCACAAAUAGGCAAAAUAGGGUACAAAAACAGGCAUGGAAACAGAUGUGGGCUGAUAAUAUGCGCACAUGCACCAAGGAUAUGGAAAUACAUCUACAAUGGAGGUGAGCUGGGUGAAACAGGUGAACUACACAUGAUAACAAAAUAUGGAAUGUGGAUGGGCUUAAACUAUAAAUAAGAAAUCCUGAAAUAAAACGAAUACUGAAUUAAGGAGUAGUCAAUUAAAGUCAGUGCUAUAGAGUCAAAGUUCGCCCGCAGAGGGCAAAUAAACCCAAAUAAGAUAAGUGUCCAAAAUAAAUAAAGUUCGAAGAGUACAUAAAUAGUGGCUUAGACCCACUUCACCGCAGUUCUUGAUGACUUGACUUCGUCCAAUGUCAGGCGGUGUUUCUCCUCGCAAAGAAAACAGGUAAAAUCCUCAGUAAUGUCUCGGUAAUGUUGUCAGCACGUCGAAGACUUGCGGAGUUGGUUUGAGAGGCCUUGUUUUGCUCUCAUGGUUCACAAGUCUUUGUCUUGUUUUCCCGAAGGGAUAUAGUCGCGCUCGCAACUAAACACAAACGAACGUAAAUAAAUGGGUCUUGUCGGCGCUUCAGACGACUUGCAGGGUUAGUUCGAGAAGCCUUGUUUUGCUCUCAUGGUUCGCAAGUUUUGUCUUGCUAUCCCGAAGGAAUGUCAAUGUCCAAGUCGCGUUCGCAAAUAAACACUGAUGUCGAACGUAAAUGCAUUGGUAUUGUCAGUGCUUCAGACGUCCAAGAUCAGUCUAACACGAGCCCUGACUCUUGACUUUUCUUCGCGGAAUGACCAAACUGUCAAA